rnacentral:lncRNA from 1 species
GUAGAAUUUUGAUUGGAUUUAAAUAUAAAAGAAGGUAUAAAAAAGCAGAAAAUAUAUUUCCAUAUAACUCAUGAGUCAAGUUAUCAAAAUGGACAUUUGAACAUACUUAGAAUUGAAUGAUAAUAAAACUAUCAAAUAACAACUUCAUGGGAUAUAAUAAAAUUUAUAAUGUCAACUAUUAUAAAAAUUUUUGAAAAUUCAAGAUAGACAUCCAAUUUAAGAAAUAAAGGAAGCAUACAGUCAAGUAAAUUAUGAAUAAUAAAACAAAUUAUUAAGAUUAAAAGGAGAUUCUCAAAAUGAAAUUUGAUUCAGUAAAAAGACCAUUGUCUUCAGUAAAAAGACCUAUGUUUUCAAGUUGAAUUGAAAGCCAAAACAUAUUUUAACUAUAUUUUAAACAAGUUGAAUUGAAAGCCAAAACAUAUUUUAACAUAUUUUAACCAUAACCAAAACAUAUUUUGACCAUAUCCCUUAUUAUUGAGGGAGGUAUUUCUUCCCUAGUGCUGUGGGGAUGACUUGGACAGAAACCACUGGACACUAUACAGAUGUAGACUGACAGUUUACUGGUCACCUGCACUAACAGCCUGAGAGAAAAGGACACUGCAUAUCACAGAGAGAUGCAUAGAUGUUACACUCAGAAAGAGAGUGAACAACUAGAAGAUGUGGAAGAACCAGUUUGGCUCUGGAGUCAAGAAUUCUCAAAACAGCUUUCUGAACCUGAAUCGCACGCAGUAAAGCUGGUGUUCUCCUGAAGCCAACAUUUAUGGUAUCACCUUGCUGAUCCAGGCAAAAUGGCAAAAGUGUAGUGAACAUAAAGCCAGGGGCUGAGAUUGUGGAUGUCCUCUGUACCAAGUUUCUUAUUAUGGUAAGGGUAGAAGUUCACCAGGUCAGUAAUGUGAUUUUGUCCAAAGAGCCAUUUCUGGAGAUCUAGCCUAAACAUUGCUCCUCCAACUCUUCCCAUAAUUUGUUAACAAUUGAAUAAUUGUUCUGUUUAAAAUAGUUUGGAUGUUUUAUGUUUUCUGCAACUUUACUGUUAUCAUAACAAAGACAUAAAUAAAGAUCUAAAUAAAGUCAGAAA